CUUAAGUCAAUUUUGUAGUUUCACGCAUAGAUUAAAAUAGCAACGGACAGGGAAUUUUCACAGGCUGGAUCACUUUGGAAACUCCCACAGAAGCAUUAUGUGGGUCUGAUCAUGCCAAAUAUGCCAGUACAGUAUCAAAGCGACAGUGCGACACGCAUGAACUGAGGAACAGUUGCAUUUAACCCUAUAAAUUAGCGAAACGAACAUCUUUCCUGCAAUUACUGGUCAUACGCAUUAUUGAACUAUGGCUGGCAUCCUCAAGAUCUACUUUAUCGGGACAGUGUUUUCGCUUCUGGUGGCUCUGUUUGGAUUGGUUGACUCUGUCGGAGGUCUGAUGUAUCCUCAAGGAUCUGCUCUGGCAAACGAUAGCCACGCAGAGAAACAUGCUUCAGUUUCUCCAUCGCGGACGGCUAACGCAGCCAUCAGGAAGCGCAUGGGCUCAUGAUGAUCCGAUGCGUGGACGUUCUUUUCAAUGCACUAAGGACUACAUUUUCGUCCUGUCGUUUGUCUAUGUGCACUUCAUCAAAUAUGCAUCAAAUAGUGGCAUACGUGUGAAGAACAGCAAUGAGAUCUACUGGUACAAAUAUAUCAGGAAUACUAUACAUUUUUACCUUUUUGGAUGUUUAUCGUGUUUAUGUGAUGAGCUUGGCUGACUUGACAGAAAAUACAUUGGCAGCUGUACAAAGGAAAUGGAAGCUAUAUACUUGCUUUAAGGAUAAAAACACCACAAACAUGCUGCAUGAACAAUACUGUAAAAUGUUAAAAUUUUGACGUUUUUGUAAUGGUGUUUUAAAGUUGCAAAUUGCACUUUUUAUGGUUAAAAUUGAGAAAAUGUAGUUAUAGACAAUUAUUGUCCUUAACUUACUCCAAAUUCCCUGUUGAAAAAAACAGCAUAUGCUAGGUUAGGUAUGUUUUGAUGCUGGUUUGACCAGCUUAUCCAGCACAUGACCAGCAUGAACCAGCAUCAAAGCACACCAACCUAGAAUAUGCUGUUUUUUUCAACAGGGUUGUUAAAGUAAGCUUACUGUAUAAGAACAAUAUAUAAUUUGAGCUUUUGUGUUGUAUAUGCAAAAGUUGUGGAUUGCACCUAUAAGUUUGGGACUUAAUAUAUUGUCUGACACUCAAGGACAUUCAAAUAACUAAUGUUUUGUAACUACACUUACUUUUUAUGACACAUUGUUUACCAUAAGAAACUCUCAAGCAAAUGUUUUUGUUAUUUGUUGGUACUAAAUACGUCGUUUAAUUGUUUUGUCUGUUCCUCACAUUUUCACUAAUGUCUGAAAGAUAACAACAUUCCAACUGACCAAACAAAUGCUCUGUUACUGCUCACUGUUUUAUAAACAACUGAAUAAAAAGCAUCAAAACA